rnacentral:rRNA from 1 species
UACGUAGGGGCCUAGCGUUGUCCGGAUUAUUGGGCGUAAAGAGCUCGUAGGCGGCUCGGUAAGUCCGCUGUGAAAGUCGGGGCUCAACCCUCGGAUGCCGGUGGAUACUGUCGGGCUUGAGUACGGAAGAGGCGAGUGGAAUUCCUGGUGUAGCGGUGAAAUGCGCAGAUAUCAGGAGGAACACCAAUUGCGAAGGCAGCUCGCUGGGACGUUACUGACGCUGAGACGCGAAAGCGUGGGGAGCAAACAGG